rnacentral:lncRNA from 1 species
UCUGCACACAUUUGAAUCGGCGUUGUCUGCUCCGCUGUGGCCUCGGUCAGGUCAGCUUCUGGAACCGUGCGAAGCACAGGGGCUGGGGGCUGGGGGCUGGGGGGUGAGUAACUGAAGUGCGGAGAGGUGCACCCAGCUGCUCCCAGGCCCCCGGCAGAGUCCUAGCUGUCCCUGCAGCUUCCCCCUGGAGCAGGUGCACCACACCGCCCCUGCCUUAUGGGGUUUCCCCUUUCCCAUUGGCCACAGGGCUUUCUUCCCACAAUGAGAACCCUGAGACUAUGUGCUCUGGGAAGCCAACCUGGGGGUGGAUGGCAGAUGCCCACCCCUUUGCCUGAGAGGCCCAACUCAGAGCGCCCCCGUCUUCUUGAACAGGUGUGGGCUGCACUGGUGGCUCCUAGAGCUGGCGAUCCUUCAUAU